UCAGCCCCGCUGACCACUGACCACUC
rnacentral:misc_RNA from 1 species